UACAGAGGUCUCAAGCGUUGUUCGGAUUCAUUGGGCGUAAAGGGCGCGUAGGCGGUGGGGUAAGUCUGGUGUGAAAUCUCGGAGCUCAACUUCGAAAUUGCACUGGAUACUGCUCUGCUAGAGGGCUGGAGAGGGAGAUCGGAAUUCACGGUGUAGCAGUGAAAUGCGUAGAUAUCGUGAGGAAGACCAGUGGCGAAGGCGGAUCUCUGGACAGCUCCUGACGCUGAGGCGCGAAGGCUAGGGGAGCAAACGGG
rnacentral:rRNA from 1 species